rnacentral:rRNA from 1 species
CAAGGGCGUAUAUUAAUGUUGUUGCAGUUAAAAAGCUCGUAGUUGGAUUUCUGGUGGGAGCGAUUGGUCUGCCCCGCGAGGGGUAUGUUACCGGUUCGUAUCCGGCCCUAUUCGGGUUGAUCGUGGCUGGCAUUAAUUUGUCGGUGCGGGAGGUCCGUCAUUUACUGUGAAAAAAUUAGAGUGUUCAAAGCAGGCUUUCGCUUGAAUACAUUAGCAUGGAAUAAUAAGAUAGGACUUUGGUGCUAUUUUGUUGGUUGAGCCUAAAGUAAUGAUUAAUAGGGAUAGUUGGGGGCACCUGUAUUGCGUUGUCAGAGGUGAAAUUCUUGGAUUUACGCAAGACAAACAGCUGCGAAAGCGUCUGCCAAGGAUGUUUNCAUUAA